rnacentral:rRNA from 1 species
AGGCCAAUCAAACCUGGAGAUAGCUGGUUCUCCCCGAAAGCUAUUUAGGUAGCGCCUCGGACGAAUACUACUGGGGGUAGAGCACUGUUAAGGCUAGGGGGUCAUCCCGACUUACCAACCCUUUGCAAACUCCGAAUACCAGUAAGUACUAUCCGGGAGACACACGGCGGGUGCUAACGUCCGUCGUGGAGAGGGAAACAACCCAGACCGCCAGCUAAGGUCCCAAAUUACUACUAAGUGGGAAACGAUGUGGGAAGGCUCAGACAGCCAGGAUGUUGGCUUAGAAGCAGCCAUCAUUUAAAGAAAGCGUAAUAGCUCACUGGUCGAGUCGGCCUGCGCGGAAGAUGUAACGGGGCUAAGUAGUAAACCGAAGCUGCGGCAAUAUACUUUUGUAUAUUGGGUAGGGGAGCGUUCUGUAAGCGGUUGAAGGUGUGUGGUAACGCAUGCUGGACGUAUCAGAAGUGCGAAUGCUGACAUGAGUAACGAUAAAGGGGGUGAAAAACCUCCUCGCCGGAAGACCAAGGGUUCCUGUCCAACGUUAAUCGGGGCAGGGUAAGUCGACCCCUAAGGCGAGGCCGAAAGGCGUAGUCGAUGGGAAACGGGUUAAUAUUCCCGUACUUCUUACAAUUGCGAUGGGGGGACGGAGAAGGCUAGGUGGGCCUGGCGACGGUUGUCCAGGUUCAAGUGCGUAGGCUGAGAGAUUAGGUAAAUCCGGUUUCUCUUAAGGCUGAGACACGACGUCGAGCACCUACGGGUGUGAAGUCAUUGAUGCCAUGCUUCCAGGAAAAGCCUCUAAGCUUCAGAUUGUAAGGAAUCGUACCCCAAACCGACACAGGUGGUCGGGUAGAGAAUACCAAGGCGCUUGAGAGAACUCGGGUGAAGGAACUAGGCAAAAUGGUACCGUAACUUCGGGAGAAGGUACGCUCUCGACGGUGAAGUCCCUUGCGGAUGGAGCUAUUGAGAGUCGCAGAUACCAGGUGGCUGCAACUGUUUAUUAAAAACACAGCACUGUGCAAAAUCGUAAGAUGACGUAUACGGUGUGACGCCUGCCCGGUGCCGGAAGGUUAAUUGAUGGGGUUAGACUUCGGUCGAAGCUCUUGAUCGAAGCCCCGGUAAACGGCGGCCGUAACUAUAACGGUCCUAAGGUAGCGAAAUUCCUUGUCGGGUAAGUUCCGACCUGCACGAAUGGCGUAAUGAUGGCCACGCUGUCUCCACCCGAGACUCAGUGAAAUUGAAAUCGCUGUGAAGAUGCAGUGUACCCGCGGCUAGACGGAAAGACCCCGUGAACCUUUACUACAGCUUGGCACUGAACAUUGACCCUACAUGUGUAGGAUAGGUGGGAGGCUUUGAAGCACGUACGCCAGUAUGUGUGGAGCCGUCCUUGAAAUACCACCCUUGUAGUGUUGAUGUUCUAACGUCGACCCCUUAUCGGGGUUGCGGACAGUGCCUGGUGGGUAGUUUGACUGGGGCGGUCUCCUCCCAA